CUUUUUGAAACGCAAGUUUGCGCCCGAUGCCAUUAGGUUGAGGGCACGUCUGCCUGGGUGUCACAUAUCGAAGCCUCUUGCCAAUUUUCCUUUGACUAUUGUGCAGGGUGGAUGUUGGCCUCCCGUGAGCUCUUUCGUCUCAUGGUUGGUUGAAAAUUGAGACCUUGGUAGGGUGUGCCAUGAUAGAUGGUGGUUGUGUGACCCACGAGACCAAUCAUGCGCCGCUUUAUUGAAUUUGGCCUCUUUUACCCAUAUGCGUUUCUAAACGCUCGUGUUGAGACCUCAGGUCAGGCGGGGCUACCCGCUGAAUUUAAGCAUAUCAAUAAGCGGAGGAAAAGAAACUAACAAGGAUUCCCCUAGUAACGGCGAGCGAACCGGGAUAAGCCCACCAUGAGAAUCGGUCGCCCUCGGCGUUCGAAUUGUAGCGAAAAAAAACCCUUAAAAAAUG
rnacentral:rRNA from 1 species